UUAUAUUGUUUAUAACAUCGUCAGUUUUUAUAUGCAUUUAAUAUUUUUAAAAAUAGUUCAAAAGCUGUCAAAAUAAAAUGGUGAAUUGAGUUUAAACCAGAAAAGAUAUAAACGUAAUCUUUGGGAUUCAACUUGUAAGGAUGUUCCAAGAACCACUUAGUUGGAGAAGGAAAACUGUGUCGUUCAUUAACAAGUCCUGUGCUUUAUAAUAUAUUAAAAAAUGGAAGGACGUGAAGAAAACAGGUUUGUAAAUGAUGUUGUACAUCAUGCAGAUAGCUCAGAAGAAGAAGUAAGUUUUUUUUUUAAUUACAAAAGUAAAUAUAUAAUAUAAUAUUUGUUGCUGCCUUGUUCUAUAUAAAUGUUUCUAACAUGCAGGUAACAUUUAUAUAUGUAUUAGUUUGAAUAAAUCAUUUUAAUAAAGUUACAUUAUAGGCAGGAAUGUUUGACUGGAAAUAUAAACGAUGUUGUACAUAAUGCAGAUAGCUUAGGCAAAAAAGAGAUUGGUGAAAUGGAGAAUGAGACUAACUAGGGUGAAAAAAAAUGAAUAUUAAUAUGUGAAUGGUACUUUGUUUAACAUCUACCUGUUUCUACAGAUACAGUACAGACGCAUUUAUAAAUGGGCUUGAUGUUUUUUUGAAUUAAAUAUGUUGUAUUGA